AAAACAUUGCUUCAGUUUACUGCUGCGGCUUAAACGGGAAGUAACGCAUUUAAAUUAUAUAUAAGAACAAAUUAUCAAAAGUUAAGUAUUUAAAAUAUCCAAACUUAUUUUUUGUCUGAAUUUAAAGGUGAUUGAUAAUAAUUUUCCAAGACAAUGGAAGUGAGGGUAUACUGGUUGUGCAUGUUGUCUUAAGCCUCACUUUGGUGCAAGACACAUCUGCCUGGACUGGACACAUUACACCAAGCAAAAGAGAGGGUCUCUCUACAUGCCGUCGAUGUAUCGCCCAGUACCACUGGGGUUGUAGCCUUUGGCGGACAUUUAAAUGCAGUACAUGGAUCACAAUAUACCGGUGUGCUGAUGGAUGGACGCAUAACGGAGAUAACAAUUGCAUCAUACCAAUCUGCCGCACAAGUUGUAAGAAUGGCGGGGUUUGCAUUGAACCAGACAUAUGCGACUGCAAAGGAAUAGCAAGCGGACAAUAUUGUGAAACAGUCCAUGUGCAUUCAAACGUCUGCAUUCCGCGAUGCUUCAACGGCGGGGUUUGUAUUGGACCAGACAUCUGCGACUGCAAAGGAUUGGCAAGCGGGUUACGUUGUGAAACAGUUAUCGCAACAAAAUCUACUGAUGUUGAGCGCUCUAACCAAUAUCCUCCUACGAAGCGACAGACCACUGCAGCAGACAACAACUCUUCAAUUUUGAAAUAAAAAUAAUAUAUGUUACUAAAUGCAUGUACUAAAUAUGUAGUUCUUCAAUAAUGCAAUGAACUCAUUAUUCAUUUAUAGAAAUAUUUUACUUCAGAACUUUUGAACUUUAUUUUGGAAAAACAAAAAUCUCAUAGUAUGUGCUGAAUUUACGAGCAACACAAAAAUAAUAUUCACGUUAUCAUAGAUAGACAGCGUUUAGACAGUAUAGACCAGAUUUCGGCUUCUGAUAGCAUUAUUGAAAUACGAGUUUGGAUUUUGUUGUUCAAUGAUUUUUAAUGAGAGUAUUUUCCUGUGAAUUAACUGACUAUGUAUAUCUAAAAAAGAUGAGUUUAAUUCAUUUUAUAGAAAUAUUCUACUUUAUUCUUCUUGACUGUAUUCAGUUAUUUAUCCGGGACAUGUCAGCUCAUCAAAUACUUUUUUCUGCUACAAAGUACACCACAACACAGGACUAAUUACAAAUUUACACCAACACUAGUUAUUGACCACAUUUUAAAUCGAUUGAAAAUACCACGGGAUGACCGGUUUGGAAGCUUAUGCUUCCUUUAUCUUUUCUGUAAAGAUGCAAGAUGAAUAUACAUGUAUCUACUACAUGAGACUUAGAAAACGCACGUGUAGUGCAUGCGUUAACGCUUGAUAAUGCGUAUUGCAUUCUCCAAUAUUCAGUCAAAACGAAACUGAAUAUUUCCAUCAAAGGUAGCUAUCAUUAAUAAGAACAAAACGUACACGUUUUUAAAAAAAUAACUUGAAGAAUUCGUGACUUCAAUGUCAGUAGUUCAUGCUUCGUUAGUUUAAGUUUUGAACUUAUGUGCUCAUAAAUAGAACUACUGAAAUUGAAGUGAAAACUAUCGUAUUGAUAAAAUGUAUUUGAUAAAUAUGUACGUGUGGACGUCCCUUUCCCCUGAUAGAUGAAGUUGUUCGUUUUGGGUUAAUAAUGUAUGUUUUGAAGGUAACACAUGCAGUCAUAUUAAAACACAGAUGUUGUCUUUUUC